rnacentral:rRNA from 1 species
AGCAGCCGCGGUAAUUCCAGCUCCAAUAGCGUAUAUUAAAGUUGUUGCAGUUAAAAAGCUCGUAGUUGAAUUUCGGAAUCUGUCCAUCGGUCGGGCUUCACUGUCCGUACUGGUGUGGUGGGUUCUUACCUUCUGAAUAACCAGCAUGCCAUUCACUCGGUGCGUUGGGGAAGCAGGACUAUUACCUUGAAAAAAUUAGAGUGCUCAAAGCAGGCUAGUGCCUGAAUACAUUAG